CAUCGUGAGUUGGAAUCUGAAAGAAGUCGGCGGCAAACAUCUGACCUAACGAACAGAAACUUCAUAUAAGGCAUAUUUCUGUUCAUAAAAUAUAACCUGAGGUUCAAACAACCAUCUGUUCACAUCAUGAACAGGAGGUUUAUCCUGUUUGAAAUGUUUUUCGCAAUUUUGCAGCAGAUUUAUAAGCCUAUAGUAAGAAAAGGAAGCGCGUGAGUGUAAAAAAAGUGGUUGGUGGUUG
rnacentral:ncRNA from 1 species